CGACCAAACAGUUCGAUGAACACAAGAAGCUGAAUUAAAAACCUCUAGGGUUCUUUCUUUUGCAAAUCUCCAGAUAUUCAUUCCUAAUUCCCCCCAACCUAGUGAUCCUAGGACCUAUUUUCAAGCCCAAUAUUUUUUCAUCUUUUUUUUCAAUUUUCCCACUUCACUUUGAGGCAACUUUCCUCUACAACAAUCAAGCUUUAGGACC
rnacentral:lncRNA from 1 species